UACGGAGGAUGCGAGCGUUAUCCGGAUUUAUUGGGUUUAAAGGGUGCGUAGGCGGGAUGCCAAGUCAGCGGUAAAAAUGCGGUGCUCAACGCCGUCUAGCCGUUGAAACUGGCGUUCUUGAGUGGGCGAGAAGUAUGCGGAAUGCGUGGUGUAGCGGUGAAAUGCAUAGAUAUCACGCAGAACUCCGAUUGCGAAGGCAGCAUACCGGCGCCCUACUGACGCUGAGGCACGAAAGCGUGGGUAUCGAACAGG
rnacentral:rRNA from 1 species